rnacentral:ncRNA from 1 species
UACCUUUGCACUCGAAUAGGAAAAGCCUAUUCCUACAUAAUAAUCAUUUAAAUAAUAUUAGCAUG